UACCUGGUUGAUCCUGCCAGUAGUCAUAUGCUUGCCUGAAAGAUUAAGCCGUGCAUGCUUAGUACAUGCCGAAACAAGGCGAAACAGAAAAGUUUGGUGGCCGCCUCGACCGGAAGCUUUAACAUUGCGGAAACAUUGUUGUUGUCAUCGAUGAAGUGCUAUUAU
rnacentral:ncRNA from 1 species